rnacentral:rRNA from 1 species
AGCAGCCGCGGUAAUUCCAGCUCCAAUAGCGUAUAUUAAAGUUGUUGCAGUUAAAGAGCUCGUAGUUGAAUUUCGGGAUCAAUAUGUCGGUCGUGCCUUCGGUACGUACUGGUAUCAUUGGUUUCUCCUUUCUGACGAACCAUGAUGUCAUUAAUUUGGUGUUAUGGGGAGUUAGGACUGUUACUUUGAAAAAAUUAGAGUGUUUAAAGCAGGCUUUAGCUUGAAUACAUUAGCAUGGAAUAAUGAAAUAGGACGUUCGAACCUAUUUUGUUGGUUUCUAGGAUCAACGUAAUGAUUAAUAGGGAUAGUUGGGGGCAUUAGUAUUCAAUUGUCAGAGGUGAAAUUCUUGGAUUUAUUGAAGACUAACUACUGCGAAAGCAUUUGCCAAGGAUGUUUUCAUUAAUCAAGAACGAAAGUUAGGGGAUCGAAGACGAUCAGAUACCGUCGUAGUCUUAACCAUAAACUAUGCCGACUAGGGAUCGGAUGAUGUUAAUUUUUUAAUGACUCAUUCGGCGCCUUA